UUGCAGAGACCCUAGGGAAAGCGAAUGUUCACAUGCAUGCGAUGAAGCUGCAUCACAACAGCUGCAGGUUUAAGCAGUCCUUUCUGCUCUUGCAACAUAAUCAGGCGCAUAACUGUCUGACACUGCCACUAAACCAGGUUCCUGAGGUAUGAAACACUAGAAUAGAAACAGGCUUGAUGGGGGACACACAGCUAAACAGAAGAAACCACGCAGAUGGAAAUGCAGCUCCCAUGGUGGAGGCUGGCAUCCUGUCAAUCUACUGCAGGGCCAAACUUUUGCCUGUCGCUGCAGCAGAAAGAAACAAAGACAACAACAAGGAAUGUUGAGCCACAUUAAUGCAAGGUGUGUCUCCAUUUAAUGCUGGGCUUUCACCAAGGAUAAAUUUCACCGGCAGCAUUUUGGGGAAACUGAAGGCACCUAUCUUAUUGCAGAAAUCCCACAUCUGCACAAAAACAAGUAAAACAAUUGAAAGCUAUAGAUUUUUUUAUCCUUUUCAGGCUUAAGUGGCAGAACAGAGAGACACUUCCUACAUUUAUUUUGUUAGGAUGUCUUGCCUGGCUUCUCCUAGGGACUGAACAAAGACCGGAUGUGCGUCUUGUCUUUUGAAUGAUUGGCAGACCGUGAGGUUAGACAAGUCUAUUUAGAGACAGUCAUAACCCCAGAAUAAGCGAUCUUGGAAAAUACACUGACUUUGUAGUGAUAUGUACCUCCCUUUCCCCUGAGUACCCUUCUAUUCCAGUGAUUGCUGACAGAAAAAAGAACCAUCUAGAUAAAAAGGUUCAGAAUAGAACUCUGGAAAUUCUGAUGAAGCAUGAAAGUAUUGUGCUUCAAGAUUCUGGACUGAGGAGAGUACACUCUGUGCACAGUGAAAUGUUUGGAGGAAAAAAGGAACAAAAGAAGGCAAACCCUGGUAUUAAAGCUAUAAGAACUAUUUACUGUGCAUCAAGUUAACUGUAUUCUAACAACCACAGUGAACUCAUUUGCAAUGGCAUAUAUAAACCCAAAUGUUAACCAGGAAAGAUAUGGGAGGAGGGAAGUGGCAAUGUGCGAGUACAACCACAAAUUGCAUCAUCAGUCACAGUGGUGAAGGUGACAGGCAGGGAACAGUCAAAAACGAGCAAGGAGAGCAGUGCAGCAUGCUUAAUACUCCUUAUACCAGUACUGCUGCCAGGGCAGGUUUUGACAGUGCCAGGGACAGGAAAGUUGAGAGGAAAAAAAGUAGUGGGUAGAAAGAUCUUGCUCAUAUGGAUGAAUUCUUUCCGGGCCAAGCUUUUGCUUGAAAGCAGUGGGGAGAGGAAAACCACUUAGAAUGGGUCCAGCUCAGUCAGAAGCAUGUAAAAUAUAAUGAAAAUUUUGCAGAAUUAAUAUUUCAUUCCCUUAAUUAGUUUUAGGGGAAUACAAACCUUGUGCUUAUAAUUUGCAUUGGCCUGUGCACCUCUUGCUGCUAACAGAAACAAGCAUCCCAGUGUGGAAGUUCUUCCUCACUGAUUUCACUCUGAGACAGAAGCAUUUUGUACUGAUGUCUGAAUUUAUCCAAACU